rfam:Stegodyphus mimosarum contig30671, whole genome shotgun sequence.
GCCUUCGUGGUGUAAUGGUCAGCACACUCGCUGCGCAUUCGAGGGGUCCGAGGUUCGAUUCCCGGUGAGGGCA